rnacentral:rRNA from 1 species
GACGAACGCUGGCGGCGUGCUUAACACAUGCAAGUCGAACGGAAAGGCCCUGCUUUUGUGGGGUGCUCGAGUGGCGAACGGGUGAGUAACACGUGAGUAACCUGCCCUUGACUUUGGGAUAACUUCAGGAAACUGGGGCUAAUACCGGCUAGGAGCUACUGCUGCAUGGUGGGGGUUGGAAAGUUUCGGCGGUUGGGGAUGGACUCGCGGCUUAUCAGCUUGGUGGUGGGGUAGUGGCUUACCAAGGCAUGGACAGGUAGCCGGCCUGAGAGGGUGAGCGGCCACACUAGGACUGGGAUACGGCCCAGACUCCUAUGGGAGGCAGCGGUGGGGAAUAGUGCACAAUGGGAGGAAGCCUGACGCAGCAACGCCGCGUGGGGGAUGACGGCCUGCGGGUUGUAAACCGCUUUCGCCUGUGACGAAGCGUGAGUGACGGUAAUGGGUGAAGAAGCACCGGCUAACUACGUG